rnacentral:rRNA from 1 species
GGGCCCGCACAAGCGGUGGAGCAUGUGGUUCAAUUCGAAGCAACGCGAAGAACCUUACCUGGGUUUGAAAUGUAUCGGUAAGCCUCAGAGAUGAGGUCCCCUCUUCGGAGGCCGGUACAUAGGUGCUGCAUGGCUGUCGUCAGCUCGUGUCGUGAGAUGUUGGGUUAAGUCCCGCAACGAGCGCAACCCUUGUCCAUAGUUACUAACGCGUAGUGGCGAGAACUCUAUGGAGACUGCCGGUGAUAAACCGGAGGAAGGUGGGGAUGACGUCAAGUCCUCAUGGCCUUUAUGUCCAGGGCUACACACGUGCUACAAUGGGCGGUACAAAGAGUUGCAAAGUCGCGAGACGGAGCUAAUCUCAAAAAGCCGCUCUCAGUUCGGAUUGCAGUCUGCAACUCGACUGCAUGAAGCUGGAAUCGCUAGUAAUCGCGGAUCAGAACGCCGCGGUGAAUACGUUCCCGGGCCUU